GUUUGAUCAUGGCUCAGAUUGAACGCUGGCGGUAUGCUUAACACAUGCAAGUCGAACGGUAGCAGGCCUUCGGGCGCUGACGAGUGGCGGACGGGUGAGUAACGCGUAGGAAUCUGCCUCAUAGUGGGGGACAACGUGGGGAAACUCACGCUAAUACCGCAUACGCCCUACGGGGGAAAGCGGGGGAUCUUCGGACCUCGCGCUAUGAGAUGAGCCUGCGUUAGAUUAGCUAGUUGGUAGGGUAAAGGCCUACCAAGGCGACGAUCUAUAGCUGGUCUGAGAGGACGAUCAGCCACACUGGGACUGAGACACGGCCCCAGACUCCUACGGGGAGGCAGCAGUGGGGAAUAUUGGACAAUGGGCGCAAGCCUGAUCCAGCAAUACCGCGUGUGUGAAGAAGGCCUUAGGGUUGUAAAGCACUUCAAUUGGGAGGGAAAAACCCGUAGUCGGUCAAUACCCGGCAGCUUGACAUUACCUUUAGAAGAAGCACCGGCUAACUCCGUGCCAGCAGCCGCGGUAA
rnacentral:rRNA from 1 species